CCCUUAGAUGUUCUGGGCCGCACGCGCGCUACACUGAUGCAUUCAACGAGCCUAGCCUUGGCCGAGAGGUCCGGGUAAUCUUUGAAACUGCAUCGUGAUGGGGCUAGAUUAUUGCAAUUAUUAAUCUUCAACGAGGAAUGCCUAGUAAGCGUGAUUCAUCAAAUCGCGUUGAUUACGUCCCUGCCCUUUGUACACACCGCCCGUCGCUCCUACCGAUUGAGUGUGUUGGUGAGGAGUUCGGAUUGGCUCUUAGUGGUGGUUCGCCACCACCUAGAGCUGAGAAGUUCUCCAAACCGCCCCACUUAGAGGAAGGAGAAGUCGUAACA
rnacentral:rRNA from 1 species